UCCUUUGUCACUACUGAGCCCAAAAGUGCACGGGCAGCAAGUUACCAAAUCGCCUUCCACAAGGUCUACAAACCCAUCUGGGACACAUGGCAGGGACCAACACGCUUCUAGACUUCCCAUGUUCCAAGUCCACUUCUGCCGGCAGAAUAGAAACCUCGUCAGUUAUCACAACUCACAAACACCAAAAUCCUAGUUUCGCCAUGAACACUGAAAUUAUGAACUACUUCAAAAUAAUAGCUUCCGUGGUGACCAGAGCAACAAAUUUUACUAGGUUUGCCUUGAAGAUUUGAAAUAUCCACAGCACCUACGUGAAUUUGCUGUGGUGCCCCAGGCUCUACCUCACUGCACAGUUUGGAAACCACAGCUUUCAGUUGUCUUCUUUUUUUAAAAUUAUUUUUAUUUUUUGAGAUGGAGUCUUGCUCUGUCAACCAGGCUGGAGUGCAGUGGCGCGAUCUCCACCUGCUGGGUUCAAGCAAUUCUUGUGCCUCAGCCUUCCAAGUAGCUGGGGUUACAGGAGCCCACCGCAACGCCUGGUUAAUUUUUGUAUUUUUAGUAGAGACUGGGUUUUGCCCUGUCGGCCAGGCUAGUCUCGAACUCCUGUCCUCAAGUGAUCCACCCACCUCAGCCUCCCAAAGUGCUGGGAUUACAAUGUGAGCUACCGUGCCCAGCCUCAGUUGUCUUCUGACUCUGAGAAGUUAAGAUUCAACUGAUUUUUAAACUUGAGGUUUGAAAUUCCUUACUAUCCACUUUUGGGACCCACUGCACUAUCAGAGAAAAGCAAGAGUAUCAGAAACACAGGUGACUGUGGAUGGAAGAGCAGUAAGCAGUUGAAGUACUUUGCUGUUUUUCCCGUAGGGGAGGACAAAUGGAUUCCUGAGGUGCAGGGCAAUCAACAGAUGAGAUCCAAGAGUCAGAACCCUGGAAUGGACCACCAGAACUUUCCCAUGGAGCCCCAGGACUUCUUCCCCCAAUUCCUGCUGUUUCUCCUCCUCCCUGUAGCAGGCUUCUUAAAGCAGGUAGUUUGACCUGCUGAGCAUCACAUUGCAUAAAACAAUGCCGGAAGACUUGAGCAAUGGUGACUUACCAAGACAGCUGGCUGCCUAUGUUUAUGGCAUUUGGAAUCCACCGGGAACACAUACAUUUGUCACAGUGUGUUCCCGAAAUAAAUGAGGCUGUCUCCCAACUGGCCCCAUAUAAUCAACGCAGCCCAGCCCCACAUAGCUACUCCAAUGAAUAAUGCUUUGUUUGCCAAAUGCAAUGGGAACCUACCACAGGCCAGGGUGCUUCCAACAACAACAACAACAAGAAACUAAAGACAGAUGAAAAAGCCUCACAGCUUGCGGUGUUGACAGUAUUCUAGAAGACCCUACACCCCUGUGGCUUCUCGAUGACUAAUGUGGAGCCAGCAUCUGUCAGCACAAACUCAGAGUGAUUACCCAGAAAUAGGUAUCCUUCUAAUUAAAAUAUCUGACCAUGUCCCCAUCAGCCACUUGCCUCAUUUGGGACACCACCAACCAUCCUGCACGGCUGCCCAUGUUUCUGUUUCUCCAGCCCAAGCAUGCAGUUUCAGUAGGUCCUUCAGAGGCUGCCUGAAAGGAGCUCCUGAAUUUCACAGACAAAUCCAGACCCCUGUGUGGAAAGCCUGCGGUGGUGUUCUCCGUCUUCCCACAGGACUCCCUGCAGCCAGGAAUUCUAGGGGAGCACCUGACGCGAGGUAUACGCCCAGAUGGCCUGAAGUAACUGAAGAAUCACAAAAGAAGUGAAAAUGUCCUGCCCCGCCUUAACUGAUGACAUUCCACCACAAAGGAAGUGUCAAUGGCUGGUCCUUGCCUUAACUGAUGACAUUCCACCGCAAAAGAAGUGAAAAUGGCCGGUCCUUGCCUUAACUGAUGACAUUACACCACAAAAGAAGUGAAAAUGGCCGGUCCUUGCCUUAAGUGAUGGCAUUACCUUGUGAAAGUCCUUUUCCUGGCUCAUUCUGGCUCAAAAUCACCCCCACUGAGCACCUUGUGACCCCCACUCCUGCCCGCCAGGGAACAAUCCCCCUUUGACUGUAAUUUUCCUUUACCUACCCAAAUCUUAUAAAAUGGCCCCACCCCUAUCUCCCUUUGCUGACUCUCUUUUUGGACUCAGCCUGCCUGCAUCCAGGUGAUUAAAAGCUUUUAUUGCUCACACA
rnacentral:lncRNA from 1 species